GACGAACGCUGGUGGCGUGCUUAACACAUGCAAGUCGAACGGAAAGGCCCUGCUUUUGUGGGGUGCUCGAGUGGCGAACGGGUGAGUAACACGUGAGUAACCUGCCCUUGACUUUGGGAUAACUUCAGGAAACUGGGGCUAAUACCGGAUAGGAGCUCCUGCUGCAUGGUGGGGGUUGGAAAGUUUCGGCGGUUGGGGAUGGACUCGCGGCUUAUCAGCUUGUUGGUGGGGUAGUGGCUUACCAAGGCUUUGACGGGUAGCUGGCCUGAGAGGGUGACCGGCCACAUUGGGACUGAGAUACGGCCCAGACUCCUACGGGAGGCAGCAGUGGGGAAUAUUGCACAAUGGGCGGAAGCCUGAUGCAGCAACGCCGCGUGCGGGAUGACGGCCUUCGGGUUGUAAACCGCUUUCGCCUGUGACGAAGCGUGAGUGACGGUAAUGGGUAAAGAAGCACCGGCUAACUACGUG
rnacentral:rRNA from 1 species